CCUACGGGAGGCAGCAGUGGGGAAUAUUGCACAAUGGGGGAAACCCUGAUGCAGCAACGCCGCGUGAGUGAAGAAGUAUCCCGGUACGUAAAGCUCUAUCAGCAGGGAAGAUAAUGACGGUACCUGACCAAGAAGCCCCGGCUAACUACGUGCCAGCAGCCGCGGUAAUACGUAGGGGGCAAGCGUUAUCCGGAUUUACUGGGUGUAAAGGGAGCGUAGACGGCAGCACAAGUCAGGUGUGAAAUCCCGGGGCUCAACCCCGGAAGUGCUUUUGAAACUGUCAUGCUGGAGUGCAGGAGGGGUAAGCGGAAUUCCUAGUGUAGCGGUGAAAUGCGUAGAUAUUAGGAGGAACACCAGUGGCGAAGGCGGCUUACUGGACUGUAACUGACGUUGAUGCUCGAAAGCGUGGGGAGCAAACAGGAUUAGAUACCCGUGUAGUC
rnacentral:rRNA from 1 species